GGGCUCUGCUCCAGGAGUGCUGCUGGUGCUCACGUGGCACAGAGACCACUCAGCCACGGCAAAGCAGAGGGCUGCAGCAGUGAUGUGCUCCGCAACGUCACGUAUAGCACUUACUGGAAGGUUUUACUUGUUUGGAGGCUCCCAACUGUCUUUGGAAUUAUGUGAUGUUCUUAAGUGUGACGAAACAGCCUUGACUUUUGGCCAAAUCGCUGUCAUAGCCUUUCUUGCAGCAAAGAAGCACAGAGCUGCGGCAGAAAAAAUGGCACCCACUGACAUUCAUCGACAGUUGCUGAACAGUUAUGGAGGCCCAACAGUGGAUGUGAGCACAGUGCUGCUGUGGGUGGUGCAUUUCAGCAGUGACAGUGGAUCACCUCGACUGGUGCAGAUUUAUCCAACGUGGCAUGCAGGCUCUAGUUCACUGCUGGCCAAAAAGCACAGCCAGUGGUGGUGUCUAUGUUGAAAAACAGUGCUUUGUGGCUGAGAAUUUGCUCUGUCUGUUAGUAUUAUUGUGCUCUUUGUAUCUGUUGUAUUUUCUGCGGAAAUAAAUAGGAG
rnacentral:lncRNA from 1 species